AUUGAACGCUGGCGGCAUGCUUUACACAUGCAAGUCGAACGGCAGCGCGGGCUUCGGCCUGGCGGCGAGUGGCGAACGGGUGAGUAAUGCAUCGGAACGUGCCCAGUAGUGGGGGAUAGCCCGGCGAAAGCCGGAUUAAUACCGCAUACGACCUGAGGGUGAAAGCGGGGGACCGAAAGGCUUCGCGCUAUUGGAGCGGCGGAGGUCGGAAUAGCAAGGUGGUGGGGUAAAGGCUUAACAAGGCUGAGAUCCUUAAGUGGUCUGAGAGGGAGACCCGCCAGCCUGGCAGAGAGGCACAGCACACACUCCGACAGGAGGCAGCAGUGGAGAAUUUUGGACAAUGGAGGCAACGCUGAUCCAGCAAUGCGGCGUGCAGGAAGAUGGCCUUCGGCUUGGAAACCGCUUUUGUUCGGGAAGAAGUCCAGUGGGCUAAUACCCCAGGAGGAUGACGGUACCGGAAGAAUAAGCACCGGCUAACUACGUG
rnacentral:rRNA from 1 species